UUUCUCUGUAAUUUUAUUGUGACAAGAACACUUGACAUGAGAUCUACCCUCUAAACGAAUUUUUAAAUGUACAAUACAAUAUUGUUAACUAAGUUAUGUUGUUGUACAUCUUUUGAUCUUUAGAGUUUAUUCAUCUUGCAUAACUGAAACUUCAUGUCUGUUGACUAGUAACUUACCAUUUCCCCCUGCCCCUAGUCCCUGGAAACCACCAUUCCACAGUUUGAUGUUAUGAAUUUGACUAGUUUAGAUACCUCAUGUAAGUGAGAUCAUGCAGUAUUUGUCUUUCUGUGACUGGUCUAUUUCACUUGGCAUAAUGUCCUCAAGGCUCACUCAUCUUGUCACAUUUCAGAAUUUCCUUUAAAAGAAUCUGAAUAGUAUUUCACAUGUGUAUACACCACGUUUUCUUUAUUCAUUCAUAUUCCAAUGGACAUUGAGCUUGUUUCCACAAUUCACUAUUGUGAAUAGUGCUACAAUGAACAUAGGAGUACUAAUAUCUCUUCAAGAUCUUGAUUUCAGUUCUUUUGGGAAAGUAUCAAAAAGUGGAAUUGGUGGAUCAUAGGGCAGUUCUAUUUUUAAUUUUUGGAGAAAACCCCAUGCUAUUUUCUAUAGCAGCUGUACCAUUUUACAUUCCUACUAACAGUGUACAAGGAUUUUAAUUUCUCUACUUCCUUACUAAUACUUGAUGUCUGUUUUAAAAAUAAUAGUCAUUCUGACAGGUAUGAGAUGGCUUUAAUUUGCAUUUCUCUGAUUAUUAGUGAUGUUGAAUAUUUUUUUCAUAUACCCGUGGGUCAUUUGUAUGGGAAUACAGGAAUAUGUUGGUUCUUACCUGAAGCCAACAUGUCUCAGAAUCUCACCCAAGACCCAUGGCAUACUACCAGUGUCACUGAUGGUUCUUAGGGUCCAAGGACUCUUUUGUCAGUAGAUAAUGAACCCUGCCAGGGUGGGUCCUUCCCUUCAAGGCAGCAGUUGCUUUCUGUCCCAGAGUUUGUCUAGAAGUGCUGUCCAGGAGCUAGGACCUGGAAAGGGAGCCUCAUGAUCCUGACUGGUGUCCUAUACUUCUGUGGCUGAGCUGGUAUCCAAGAUGGAAGACAAAAUUCUCUUUACUUCCCAUUCUCUUUCCCUCAAAGAGAAGGAAGGGGUCUAUUUUAAAAUUGCAAGCUGUACAACUUGGGGUUAGGGGAUGGGUGGCCCAAGUAUUUCCUUAGAUAUCCCUGCUGAUAUCUCAGUAGCUUGAGUGCCCCAAAAGUCCACUGGCUUUGAGCCCAGCUCAGUACUUCAACUUGCCUAGGAAUUGCAGCCCUUGUGGCCUAGGCUGCCCCUCAAGUUCCCUUAGGACCUCAGAGACCUUCAGCCCAAAGUGGUGAGGCUUGCUGAAACUCAAGCUCCCCAUAGGGAUGGGCCUCUGCCUAGAGCUGGUCCAAAUGCUCCCUCCAUGGGUGGGAAUCAGCUGUAUUCAGCUGUGUUCUACUUUCUGUUGUAACAGGGCAGCACUGAAUCCAAUGCCAAGACAUUGAUUUGUCCGUCUCUUACAGAAUCUGUAUUUGGGUAGUGGCCACAUUAAUAUGGUACUUAGGUAAAUUGUUAAAGGUAGCUGUCGAGUUGCUAUUACUAUAUUUUUUUCUUAAAAUUUCACCUGGACUACACAAUUUAGAGAUGAAUGAUCACUUCCUGAUUUGGAGGGCUGUGGAAUGGUUGGUGAGGUGGCACAAAGUCUUCCUUUGAAAUCGCUGUUCUCUCCCUUUCCCAAGUGUAUAGAUUCUUCAUGCCAUAUGGUCAUUGCUAGGAGACAAGGAAAGUGUUAUCAGUAAUUCAAGAUGGUCUUUUCUAUCCUUUUCAGUCCCUCUUUCAAUGAUAUGAAUUAAAACCAGGCACUGUGAGUGCUCACCUGAGUUUUAGUUCCUAUGAAAGUGCUCCUUUUGUAUAGACAGUUGAAAAAUUGGUGUUCCUGAUUGGGGGGAUGAUCAGUGGAGCCCUUUCUUUGGCCAUCUUGUUCUGCCCCUCUCUCAUCUUUUAUUCUUACACAUUUAUUUUAUAUUCCCAAAGAUUUAAUUUCUCAAUAAGCUGCACAGAGCUGAGUCUACAACAAUUAAUUUAAAACAAAAGCAAGGAAAUAACACUUUUUUAAUAGUUUCAAAUGAAACUAUUGAACAUGAAUGAAAUGUAUGCAUAUAAUCCUAAUGUUUAGGCAUUCCAUUAGACUACAUCAGUUAACUUGUUGCACAAAAAAUCUCAGUGUCUGAUAACAAGCAUUAGUUUUCGAAUGCAUCUGCACAUCAGCUGGGAGUGUAGUAGUCAGCUGAUGGUUCAGGCUGGGAUUGACCAGCUUGCUUUGUGUAUCCUGACUGGACUUACUCAUGUGUCUGUGUGUGCUGGUCUAUUGAUCUAGGCUGGCUGAUUGGAGCAGCUUGAUUGGGUGAACUUGUUUCACAUGUUCAUCAUCUCUUGGGACUAGUGGGCGAGCUCAGGCAUAUAUUUUUCACAGAGAUGGCAGGAACACAAUAACGCAAACAGAAAAACACAAGGUGUUUUAAGGCUUAGGCUAGAAAUAAAAUAAAAUUUUAUUUUUAUCGAAUUCA
rnacentral:lncRNA from 13 species